UCCCUUGAUCCGGGGUCGCCGGUGAGUCGCUUUGCCGAGGUAGAAGCGGCUUUAUUACUGGAGGAAAUCCCCUAGGGCGAUGUCUAACCUGGUGCGUCCUCGCCGGCACUUCGGUCGCGCCUGCCUUUGGUUUCGUCCCCUUUGCUUUGGGAGGCAGGGAACGUGGAAGUGGAGCAAAUCGCUCCUGGCUUUGGACGCCUUUGACCUUUAACUGUCCCUGAGUUAGCUGACUUUGGUCCUAAUGAGAAUGCUAACCAGUUUACUAGACUUUUAAAAUCGUGUGAGUUUGUUUGUGACACCCCAAUAGUUUUUUAAAAGCAGUUUGUUGUAGCUUUUUGGUCUCCAGGAUGGGGAGUUUAAAAAGUGUUUUAUUCAUUAAGUUGCUGUUUUCACAGUCGAGCCCAGAAAGGAAUUUGUGGUUAGUUGUAAAUAGUGUUUGAAACUGUGUUUUCAUAGAUAGCUAAUAAAUAUUUGUUAAAGACUUUUGAAUGGUCACUUGGAGCCAAGCAACUGUGCUGAGCGUUUUGCCUGUAUCUUAACCCAUCUAACUUUCAUAACAACCUCACUUAAUAAGCAAAGUUGUGUAAAUAGGCUUUCUGAAGCCUGUGAUGUUUGUGUUUUCAUUUGCAGAAUAUAGUAAUAAUGAGCUGUAACUUUUUUUUUUUGUUUGUUUUAAAUUUGGGGGCCAAAUAUAAAAAAUAUUUCACAUAACAUGUACUUCAUACGGGGUUUCUCUUUUUUUAAUUGAAGUAUAGUUAACACAACGCUACACUAGUUUUAUGUGUACAACAGAGUGAUUUGACAACUCUACAUUACACGGGCUCCUUUUCAAUGUGGUUUAGUUUGGAGUAGCUUGAGAACAGCUUUGCAAAUACAUUGUUGCAUUCUGGUGGAGUGACUGAGAUCAUUUCCUUCCAAGCAUUAAUAAGUGUGCUUAUUUGUGUUGAACUAGCAUAAGGUUGUACUCAGAGCUGUUUUUUGUUUCAACACUUUGGAGGACUUUUAAGCUGCUUACAAGAAAAAUUAUUUAUUUUUAUUAUUGUUUCUUUCCAAAGCUUUCCAGCACUUAAGAACCAUAUUUUUGGAUUUAAAGUCUGAAUGUAAAGUGUGCUCUGAUUUCCUGCACCAUUUAUUUGUAGCUGCAGUUUAGUCUUACUCUAAGUUCUAUAGGUUAGAGAUCAAGUUACCCGUGUAAAAGGUAUACUAAGUAUAGAAGCACAGACUUUUUGACUCGGUUAAAAUCAUCUUUUUUAAAUUUUUUAUUUUUAAGGUUUAUGUAUUUAUUUACUUAAGUAAUGUCUACAUCCAACAUGGGGCUUGAACUCACAUCCUGAGAUCAAGAGCCACAUUCUCUUCCAACUGAGUCAGGAGCCAUUCUGUCAGGCCCAGGCUGGGAAGCUGUCUCACUUCUGGAUUGAAAUUAUUAAAUGGAUAGAUCGAUGAAGCUUGUCGCUGUGCCAGGAGUUUGUUACCGAGGUGAAAUAAAGUACAACUCAAGAUUCCAUGCUGGUUUCCAUCGUGGGGAUGGCCCUGUACACAGGAUAUGUCUUUAUGCCUCAGCACAUCAUGGCGAUAUUGCACUACUUUGAAAUUGUACAAUGACCAAGACGUGACCAGAAUUGAGCGGUUCCUUGGGGAAGAUUCACCUUCUGAAGUUGGGACGAAACUUCAUCAGAUGUCCUAAGAAACUCUACUAGAUGUCAACAUAACUAACCCUAUGAAUAUAAAGACUAAAAUUCAUGAGUAGAACAGGAAAAUAAUCCUGACUCAUGUGUUGUGUUCUUUAUUUUUAAUUUUAAAAGAGGCUCUUGUAUAGUAGUUUUUGUGUAUUUUAACAUUGUAGUCAUUUGUACUUUGAUAUCAGUAUUUUCUUAACCUUUGUGACUGUUUCAAUAUUACCCUGUGGAAGCUUUUCUUAAUGUAACUUUGAGUACAUUUUAAUUGCCUUCUAUUUCUAAAACCCAAAGUCAUUAGUUGGGCUUUACUGUUCUUGCUAUUGUAUGGCACAUACAUCUGCCUGGAUAUAUUUCUACUCUUGACCAAAGUUUUGUAAGAAACAAUACAAGAUUUGGGGCAGGGGGAUGGGGAGGGAGGAUAUUUUAUUGAGAACUAUUUACAAAAGACUUAAUCUGUAAGUUUGAACUCAGGAGUACAGUUUUAGCUAUCUAGACUCUACUCUUAACAGCUUUUGCUUUAAAACUAUUAAAGUAUUUCUUAAUAAUGAAAAAGAAAGAUCUUGCUAAAGUUAAAAUAAGGAACAUUUCACCUUUUAAAUAUUUAAUUUUUAUGUGGACUCAUUUCCAGAAAACUUUGGUGAUGAUUCUUGUGACAAAAGCAUUAAAUAGCAUUAAUAGCAUUAUUAUGUAAUGCUUAUAUACCAUAGAGUUUUUAGUAGAAAGUAAAUCAGUUUCCUCUGAGGGUUAUUAUUAACAAUGUACUUGCUUAAAUUUAGUUUCAUGAUUGUACUGGGUGCUGCAAAUGCAUUUGCACAUUGCAAUAAGAUAUGAUGAGAUGAAUUGUUAAAAACUAGCAAAAAGAAAUGUCAACUUGGUUAAAAUCCUUUCACUCUUUGUAUUUUUUUUUAAGAUUUUUAUUCCUUAAAUGUAAAAUGACUACCUAAUUUUUUGAUGUAACUCAUUAAAUUCAAAGAAAAAUCA